rnacentral:lncRNA from 1 species
AGAUACAGAUGCAAGAGGUUGGUGGUUUUCCAGGAGUGAAGACAAUUAUUACAAUCCUCUAGAUUAUACAGACAGUUCCAAAGGCUUUGAAGACUCAUUACAGUGUAUAAUACAGACAUUUAAAGAGCAGGUAUAAUCAACAUUCAAGAUAAAAUUACAUUGUAGUAUCACUAUAGUUGAAGAAUAUCACAAAUAUAAUGCCUACCCAUGUUAAAAUGAGCAUAGAGCAUGACAUGAAGGAAUUAUUUCUUAAAUAUACUAUAAGAAGAAAGUUUAAAUGGAAAUCAACAGUAUCUGAGCUCAAAGACCAUUCCAGCUUGUGAUUAAAUUUCAUUAGAUUUAAGCUGUUUGUUGGUUCAGUUAUCCUGUUUAUAUGUUAUAAAAACUUUAAAUUUAAGUAGGUUUGAUCUUUAUCAAUAUCAGUUUGGUUUGGUUACCAUGGUUACAUAUUUCAGAACAAUAUUGUUAUCAGUGAUACUUCACUAUUGAAGUACUUUUAUAUAAUAAUUCAGAGUUUACAUGUUAAAAUAUGAGUUGUCCUCUUUUGGUUCUUUCUGCCUGCAGGCUAAUAGUUGAAUUUACAUUUUUGUUAAUUCAUAUGACAUGAAUUGUUUACAUUUAUUCUACUCCUGCUUAAUGAAGAUAUAUAUGACAAAGUCAAAAUUAAAAAUGAUCAGACAAGACAUACAAAUAUGUGAUUUUAUGUUUUUAUUUCGUUUCCUUUAUUUAAAAAAAAAGGUAUAAUGUUUGACGUAUGUGCUCUGACCUGUCCAGCUUGUCAAUUAUUAAGACUAUUACCGUUAAAAUCGUUAAAUAAGCCGCAGGUUUUUUUCUCUGUCUUUGUCCUGCGUGUUAUACUCAGGUGCGCUUUAUGUAUAUAUUUUUUUCUGUUUUCAGGACGAGCGUGAAAAAAAAGUUGAUCAAUAAAAAUUCAGCCUUUAAUUUCAUAUUUUGUACAAUAGGUUUCAACUUUUUACAGGGACCAUUUGAUGGAAUAUUAGCUUUUAGUCAGGGAGCUGCAUUUCUGUCACUUUUAUGUAGCAUACAGCAAAAAGGAACAGGUAAUUGAAUACCAAAGAAAGAUUAAUUAAAUGACCAUGAUUGUACCAGCAUUUUCUACCUCCUGAACUAUUGCUGACAUCCAUGGCUCUCAUCAUAUGGAGAGUUUACAUUUUUUUCACAGUCCAAUAUAUCAAGUUGGGAAAAAAAUGUAUACAGAAUAUUAGCUAGUAAAUUAAUAACUGUUGUAUACUUACAUGAUCUAUCAGAUUUAAAAAGAUGUUGGUAUUUUUAAUCAAUGCAACUAAAAUCAAACUAAUCAAUUACAAUACUUUCAGCUGAAAUAUAUGUCUCUUUUUAGGUAAUGAAAAUCACUUUACUAUUGCAGAUUCUCCUAUCAAAUUUAACUUUGCCAUAUUUGUGUCUGGUUUUAAGAGUCGACAAAAAGAGCAUGCCAAGUUUUAUGACAUUACUAUAGAAAUUCCUACCUUGCAUGUAUUUGGUGAAACGGAUAAAGUGAUUGCAAAAGGUAAAAAUAUAAAUAUUAGUUUAAAUGAUGAAUCACAUCACAUCCGGAUGCAUACGAAAAAAGUGCAGAAAAAGUAUUCCCUUGAAUUGACAGUUGUAGGAAAUUAAUCGUAUAUAUCAUUGCAGUAAAAAAAUUCUUGGCAAUAAACUUAUAUCUUGGAUAUUUCAAAGCACCAUUAUUUGUUUAUUUGGGGUUUCUAUAGAAUAUUUUGGAAACUUGAGGUUACAUGGCUACCAAAGCUUGCACACAGUUAAAAAGAGGUAAAAUUUGAUUGGUAGACUUCCAGUGAUGAUUAUUUUCUUAUAUUCUAUGAAAUGUUAUGUGAAAUUUUGUGUAUAGUACUGGACAGAAUAAAGCUUUACUCAUGCCAAGUAUUACCUUAUUUAAAACAAAGAUAAAUCCUGCCAAAUUUUUUGAAAAGUGCAAAUUUAACCAAUUUAAUAUGUACAUUACAUUAAGUAUAUUCAGAUAUAUAAUGAAUGUUUUGUAUAUCCAUAAAAGUGAUCAAUUUGAACCUCAGUUUGAUCAUACUACUAAUUUAUUUUAUUUUAAAUUCUGCUAUAGUCUACAUUUUUACAUAUUCAUAGACAAUGUAAAAUUUGGAGGUGCAAGAGCUUUAUUUACAUAUUGAGUUCAAAUCAAUCCUGGAUAUUUCAGAGAUGAGUGAAGAUUUACUACAGUGCUAUAAAGAACCAAUGGUACUACAGCAUACAGGUGGACAUUUUAUACCAGCUGCAUCAGCUCAGAAAAAAAAAUAUCUGGAGUUUUUAGACUUGAUGAUUGCAAGGAAAAAAUAAAAAUUGA